ACCAGAGCCAGAUCACCCUGCAGCUCUGGCCUGGUUUCCCACUGAAGCUAAGCAGGGUUGAGCCUGGCCUGUACCUGGAUGGUAAACCUCCUGUCGAAAACUAAGGUUGCUGCUGGAA
rnacentral:rRNA from 1 species